AAGCCAGUGACUUUUCUUUUUUGUUUCCAAUGAAAGAAAAGAAAAUUGUAAUAGCACACAGCUACCCAUUUGCACCAAUUAAAGUUCUACAUUCCCAUCAUCCCAUGCUCGCCGCCCCAUCUCGAGAUUUUCUUUCCCUUUGCCCAAUUCUACGGCUCUCAAAAUUAUUUUCCCAAUCCUAUUGCUCCAAGUUUUUCGAACUUUCCCUCCCUAUUCCACACCUUAUUCUCAGCCCCUAUUCCCUUCGGCCUCUUCGCUCACCGGCGUUCUCAAGGCGGUUCGUGAUCUCUCAAGACAGUGUUCGAGUGCUCGAAGAAACCACUCCAACCUCCCCGAGAAAGCUUACUGCUUCCUAUCAUGUGCUUCUCUUUGCUGGUGAGUGGUGAUGGUGUCAAAAUAGAUGAGGAGAUGUCAAAUUUGCUUCCUUCUCAGAAAAGGAAAAUUAGACAAAAACAAAGAAAGGCAGAAGCAAGAGCUAAGAAAGGGGCAGAGGAAAAGAAUGAAGAGUUAAGUGUCAGUGAGGUAUUCAAGUCUAGGAAACGGCAUGUAAAACCUAUGAAUCCUGAUCCACAUGGGGAGAAGUUAUUGCAGGUGAUGUGGAGAUGGGCUAAACAAUAAGAAUUGAUACAUACUCUAGUGGGGAUGCUGACAGAGCUUUAGAUUGCCUGUGGCAGAGGAAGAAGGCUGAGAUUAAGCUGCAAUAUAUUUUGCUUUCAAGGUCUAUUUUUGUUAGAGAUAUUUGAGUAUUAAAAUCAACAUAAAGUUGAAACAUUUGUUUGCAGAGAGGAUCAGCCGAGAAAGAACUUUUGCAACAAAGUGAAGGAACCACAUUCCAUGAAAAGGUAUCUACACGAUUCAACAUUGUCGUCAUUGGAGGUUCACCUUGAUUUUAUUGUUCUCAUCUCAUUACAUAUUUUGAGAAGAAAAUUGUGAUGAAAAAUUGAUUAUAAUUUUUGGCUGAGAACAAUCAAAUAAGCUUUAUUUUUAACCUUUGAAAGAGAUUGCUUUGCCAUGAAUUUUUCUAUUUUAGUGAAAAGAGAUUAACCUUUGUAUCAAUUGUUUCUCCUGUUUAUGAGAUCUUUUUCUGAAGAUCUGUAUAGUUUAGUUGAGGUAUAAGUUGUUUAGUUUCUAUUAAUGAGAUCCUUUUCUGAAGAUCAGUAUAUUUUAGUUAAAGCUAAAAGCUAAUCGUAGUAAUGAGAUCCUUCUUAAUAAACCACGUGCUGCUUUGGUCAAAGAUCCAACCAAGGAUCCUGCUGAUUUUGAAGUUCCUGCUGAUGUUUUGGAACUCAUUGAUCAAACAUUUCUAUUCAAAAUUGAAGUCAAUAACAACUCAAACUCAAUAUUUGAACCAUCGUACUGAGUUAAGAAAAUCUGCUCUGACUCAGAGGUUAUGUGUCAGUUUCAGGCAUCCCUUCCCUCUAUUGAGGGUUCCGCUCCAUUGUUGAUUAUGGGGACCCCUACUUCAGUGCUGAAGGGUGAAUCUUCAUCUCCGAUUAUAGAGGAGUUUUCCCUGAGGAAUAGCUUGGAUCAACUAGACAUCAUUUUGCUAAUUUAUUAUCAAUUUUGUAUAUCAUUCAUUGCGACACUGUGUAGAACCUCAAAUCCUUUUCAUAAUGGAGUUGUUCUUA